UAAUACGUAGGGGGCAAGCGUUGUCCGGAUUUAUUGGGCGUAAAGAGCUCGUAGGCGGCUCAGCAAGUCGGUCGUGAAAACCCGGGGCUCAACCCCGGGAGGCCGGUCGAUACUGCUGUGGCUAGGGUCCGGUAGAGGAGAGUGGAAUUCCCGGUGUAGCGGUGGAAUGCGCAGAUAUCGGGAGGAACACCAGUAGCGAAGGCGGCUCUCUGGGCCGGCACCGACGCUGAGGAGCGAAAGCUAGGGGAGCAAACAGGAUUAGAUACCCUGGUAGUCCUAGCCGUAAACGUUGGGCACUAGGUGUGGCGGUCUGACCAACGACUGCCGUGCCGUAGCUAACGCAUUAAGUGCCCCGCCUGGGGAGUACGGUCGCAAGGCUA
rnacentral:rRNA from 1 species